UACGUAGGGUCCGAGCGUUGUCCGGAAUUAUUGGGCGUAAAGAGCUCGUAGGCGGUCUGUCGCGUCGGCUGUGAAAACACGGGGCUCAACUCCGUGCCUGCAGUCGAUACGGGCAGACUAGAGUUCGGUAGGGGAGACUGGAAUUCCUGGUGUAGCGGUGAAAUGCGCAGAUAUCAGGAGGAACACCGGUGGCGAAGGCGGGUCUCUGGGCCGAUACUGACGCUGAGGAGCGAAAGCAUGGGUAGCGAACAGG
rnacentral:rRNA from 1 species